rnacentral:rRNA from 1 species
UACGGGGGGGGGCAAGCGUUGUUCGGAAUUACUGGGCGUAAAGGGCGCGUAGGCGGUUGGAUAAGUCAGCUGUGAAAACCACGAGCUCAACUUGUGGCCUGCAGUUGAAACUGUCUGGCUAGAGUGUGGGAGAGGGAAGUGGAAUUCCUGGUGUAGCGGUGAAAUGCGUAGAUAUCGGCAGGAACACCCAGGGGGAAACCAGUCGAACUGGGCAUCUACUGACGCUGAGGUGCGAGAGCGUGGGGAGCGAACCGGAUUGAGAAACC